AUAAAGCAUAGUAGAUAAAGAUAGGUGGGAAGAAACCUGAAGGAAAAUGAAAAAAUGAUAACAUUUGGAAGUCUCAAGGGAAGAAUAGAGAACAAUAAAACAACGUACUUCAAGAAACUCAGUGCAGGUCUGAAUCACUUCAGAGUGUGAGAGCUGAGCAAUAAAUAAUGUGGGCAACAGAAUUUUUAUGCUUGGUGUUCUUCUUUCUCUUUUUAAGUUUAAGUUGACUUAUUCCUGUUGAAAUGUACUCUACAUGACUUGGAGCAGGCUGAGGCAACUGCAGAUUCUAAACAGUAAUCUUUUAUAAUUCAUGCAAGACAAGUAAGACACCAGAAGAUCAGGAAGAGUAUGUCUUUCAACAGGAUAAAGGAACUGUAAGAGGUCAUUCUUUUACGCCGUUGCCUCAAAGCUUGCUGAGGGACACAGAUGAACAAGGUCAAGCAAGUCCUGACCAAGGAUUAAGAAAACCUUCGUCCUGAAGGGACAACAGAUGGACAACGCCUGGGGCAACGAGAGAGGGUAAGUGGCAGCUAAAUGGCCAGGAAACAGUCUUUUGUGUGGACUUAUCUCAAGGGAGACAGCCAUCUCAGGGGGGGCUCACAUGACCAAGCGCCCAGAAAUGUCACGUAGGCAGGGAAGGAGGAGGAUAAAAGAGGGUCCAACAACCAUGAAGUCAGGAUUCUGAUAACAGAUUCCACACGACCUGCCUCUCCCUCCCGGACUUCGCUCUGUGCUCUACCUGCUUGCUGCCUAAGGAUGGCCUCUCUGCUGCUGCUCACCCCUCCGAGAAGGUGUCUGCCAUCAGAUCCCUCACUACAAAAGGCCUGCAUGCUGACUGACUCUCCAGGGCCUGCUACCGGAGACCUGCUGCUUCCGCCCAGACUUCUUCCUGGACCUACUCGGUACCUGCCUGCACCUUCUCGCUGCCUAAGACCGGCCACACCGCUGCUGCUCUUCCCCUGCGCUUUUGCCCCGGACCAUCGGAACGUCGUGCAACGGGACUACUGCCGGAUCCUGGUGUUACAGAUCCUGGAUCGCUUUAAAAUGGAAAAGCCUCAAGCAGCGUUCAGCAACGUUCUCUCUCUUUUAUUAUUUACUGGAAUGGUCACUGUGAGAUCACUGCCUUUGAAGAAGAGUUAGAGAAAAUCCUGCUUUAAAACCAAAGGAAAUCCAGAUUAAACAGGAGAAUGUGGAGGAAGCACAAUGACAGCACAUGAAAUGUAAGAGAAGAGUGCUGAAGACCCUGCAAUCACUCUGGAAGAGACUUCCGUAUCUGCUUCUGCAGACUGUCUGGGACCGUUAAAUGACCAAAUAUUUAUCUGUGGUUGAAAAAAUGACAUAUUUCUUCUUGUUUGCUAUCUGGCCAUGUUGUUUGUACAAGCACCCUCAGAAGUGUGCAGAAGUAUACAUACAGCUGCAAGGAUAUCACUGAAAGGUAAACAGACAUUUGAAGAACUUACAAUCAAAUGCUUAACCUGGUGUAACAGUGACGCCAUCGUCUUCAUGCAUGUUAACAAAUCUCAAAUCAAGAGAUUUGAUUUUGAUUGUUUUGCUCAUGAUUGCAGCUGGAAAGAAGCACUAGUGUCUGCAAGAUAAAGAGAGCAAUCAAGUUCCACUUCUAGGUCCUAGGAUGAAAAAAAAAAAAGGCUCCUUCAAAGGAGGAAGCCUAUAACUGAUAUACCACUCUGUCUCCUGAGCAUGACAGUGAAAAAGAAAGGAUUUCAUUGCACCAAGAAGAGGACAACUCCUUCUGAAACUGUUAUCCUCAGAUGGGAACUACUGUGCAAAAAUUCAUCACAUUAUUUGAAAACGACUUGCACAAGUGUAUGCCCUGAAGCAAAACAUGAAUAUAUGUAUGCUACACAUAAUUGGCAUGGUAAUAUUAUCCACUGAAAUAUCUAGGUCUCUACAUCAAGCUAAACAUCACAGAGCUAUAAUAAACAAGUAAAUAAAGAAGUGGUGAUUAGCAAACUGGAUUUAUGUUCUUAAGUACCUGAUGUGCUGUAAGUCAGUUCAUACUCACAUCCUAAAGCAGUUUGUGAAAUGUAUAUCUAUUUAAAUGACAUUUACAAAACCUGUUUAUGCUUUCAACAUGAUAAAUUCAUCUUCAAUUACUUGGAAAAAUAGGGCGAGUAUUUAUAACCUGUUGUUCUUUUUUCAUAAAAGAAAAACCCAUGCCCAGGCAUUCCUAGUAUUUCUUACUUACAGUAUGACAUCCACAGUGUUCAUCAGAGUACAGUGCAGUGCUGUGCACCUGUAGGAACUGUUGCUUAAUUUCACAGCUUAGGUGCCCAAAUUAAAUUGCACUGAUUACCUCUUCGACUCCUAUAUUAAAAAUUACCUUUGGUGGCUUUAAUAUAGAUACUCAGGAAGGUUUAAAUUUUAAAUGGAUGACCAUGGGUUAAGCUUUAUUCCCUGUCUUAUUAGGAAUUAUACUAAAAAAGCUCUAACAGACUCCCCGUGUAUUUGCAAAAAUCUUUCUGGUGACACCUUAUGACAUCUUGUCAAAAUCCUCACUUUAUUCUUGCUAGUUUUACAUUAAGUUGCUGCCUGCUGGAAAUAAGUUUUAUCACAGCAGGAGCCUAAACCAACAUUUAUUUCAGAAAUCCCAAGAAAACAUUCAGAACUAUCACAGUUAUAGAAAUAUGUGCCCCACAUCUUCUGUGGGUGGAUAGAUACACGCCUGCAUCCGGAAGGCUGGAAACAGGUUUCAGCCCCUGACUGCGGAUGGCUCUGCUCAGAAAGCUCAACUACAACAGUCUUCAGCCAUCUGCUUGUUGCAAUCAGAUCCACUUCAAAGUGUCACAAUCUGACCUUUGUUAUGGCAACAAUAACUUGCAACGGAUGCUCAAGCCAGCUGGUCUGCAGAGAUCCUAGAUCGCCUCAGUGAGUUUAGAAUGACCUUUUGCAGUGCAGACACCAGAAGUCAAAGAGGUGAGCUAUCAUGUUAUCACAGAGAUCUCAGCAUGCUCUAAGGAGCUUUUUUUAGCCUAGGACUGAAAAAAGGGACUCCCUUUAGUGAAUCCUUGAGUCAGCUUUUUACUUCUGUGGUAGAGCCCAAAUGCAUUCUCCUUUCUCAGUUUAAACUUCACAUUUAAUAGAAAUUGUUUUUAUAACAAACAUUUAUGUAAAACCUCUUCAAUAAACUAGGUAGGGCUUCCUGUUAUUCUUUCACUGCUGCUUAGAUUUGUGGUGCUACUCUGAGGUGUUUGUAUUAUUGCUGUAAAGAAGAAGUAGUAAAACAAACUAUCCAAAAUAUUGUUUUGAGCCUCAUUGGCCACUGUUUUUCAUAUCUCUUGCCGUGAUAAGGAAUUCUCAGGUAAAAGAGCCAAACUUGUAUCCAUUUCCUCUUCCCUUCCAGAGAGUUUCUAAGAAUACAAAUGUACCCAAUUUCACAGGUAAUACACUACAUAUCUCUGGUUAUAUUCUGUUGUACUUAAGAGUUCUGACUUCUGUCUUUUUAUGGUCAUUUGUAGUCCACCAAGCCCAUUGUGAAAAUUUUACUGAAAACUUCUUGAAGUGGAUAUGCCUCUAAAUGCCUCCCAGUAUAAGAUAUUUUUUGUCCCUCAGUGACCUUCAAGAUCUGUUUUCACUAGUUUUCUCCAACAGGUAAGAAAUCUCUCAACCUGGAGGAGUAACCCUGAGAAGCAUCCCUGCUCAAGGGGAAGAUCCUGGCAUUCAGCCUGCUGCCACGCAAGAUGAGUUCAAGAGGCUCUGGGAUGUCUACUAUUUAUGGAGUGAGAUCACUGACUACCAGUCAUAUUUGCAUAAUUCAUUGGUGCAUGCUAUCUCCCCUGAAUUCACCUUGAGCCCAGUUCAGGUAUCAUGACCAGAUACAUCUAUCACAGCUAUCACUGAUAGUCAUUGCACAAGCAGAGUUAUGGGUGAAAGGUCAAGUUGGGGACUGGGGAGAUAGUACACCACUACAGCUACUUUGAAAAAAUAUUCAUUACAUGCAGUGACUGCAAGUGGUUUGGAUUUUGCAUUCAUUAUAGAUAACCCAAUGCAUUCAUAGUGGCUACAGAAAUCAUUAUUAUUAAAAAUGUAGCAAGAAAUAAGCUCUCCAGGUCCCAUUACUACUACACCUCUUAGGGAGGAAUCGAUGUCCUCAACAGAAACCUGUCCAGUUUUCUCUUAAAAGCAUCUACUGGUGGGGAAUCCAUAAGCUCUCUAGAAAAAAACUCUCAGAGGACUUAACUAUCCUUACAGCAGAAGGUUUUCUUAAUGUUUAACCUCAGUCUCCUCUGCUGUGAUUUAAUCCCUUAAAAGUUGUCUAAAAAUCAUGAGAUUUAAAAAGUAAUAUCCCAUGGGAUCUUCACAUUAUUUGCCUUUCAGUGUUUGAUCCUUUCAGAUUAACCUUUAUAAAUGUUUCUUAGCAUCCAUGAGAACUUGAAAUUUACCUUCUGGAAACUGAAAGUUGAAUUUCUUGUAAAAUAAUUUUACUCCACAAACUGGGAUUUCAUAAAAAAAAAUCACCCAAAAUUGCAGGGUAUGAAAUAAAAAUCAUAGAGCAGAAACAAAAACAAAACCUGUCUGUGAGAAGUGUAUGAUGGUUGCUGUUCCAUUCGUCACCACAAGGCUUAACUAAGCAUGAAUACAAAUUUAAGGUCCGGCUCAGGUUUCCAGUACACUGGUGAAAAUAAGAUAAAGCAUUGUUAGUCUGCAAAGAGUAAUCUGAUGUAAAGUAAGAAUGAAUCUCAUCUUUGAGAAUGUAACAUUUUUCUCCUAAAAGAAUUACUUUUUAAGAUGUUUUCUAUGAAGAAGCAAAUUUGAGGCUGAUUGAUUUUCAUGAAAUACUGUUUCUUUUCUGCUGGAGCACAUCUGUGACCUUUUUAAUACAGAAUAAGCAAUGAAAAAACCCAAGUUAAGGUGUCACGGAUAGUACAAAAACAGUAAUCUGGCUGUCCUGAAUUUAUUCACACACCAUGAUUUUUUUUUUUUUUUUUUUUUUUUUCCUGGAGGUGUUCACUUUAUGUUAGACAUUAAUAGAUUGCAGGACUGCCAGUAAAGGACUGCCAUACUGGGAUACCUCCCAAGUACUACAUUCUUAUUUUGUGUUACAAUUAAAAAAAAACAAAAAAAAACAUAACUAAUUUGGCAAGGAACUCAGUGGUCUGGGCCACUAGUAUCUCUUUAGUAAAGAAAAUUCAAAUAGUUGUAGUAUAUUUCCUUCUGAACUUGUUUUUUUUAGAAUGCUGUAUAAAAAAAUGCAAAAAUCAUCAGGACUCACAUUUUAUCACUCAUAACAAUAUGAUGGGGGCCAACUCCUGCGACAUUAAGCAAACAGAGAAACAUUAGUCUGGAAAGGCACCAACAGAGAAGCAAACCCCCUCCUCUGCUGGAGCUAUUACAAUACUGAGGCAAAACCUGAUGUAGGCCAACCUCCUUCUGUACAGGCACACUUCAUUUCCUAUGAAAAAUAGCCCAAUUAUAUUUCAUUUCAGUAUGCAGAAAAAUGAUCCAACCGUGCAACUACAGAUAACAAAUCUAACAUGUAUAAAUAGUCCCAGUGCAAUUAGUUGCUAGACUGAGCCAGUUUAGCCCAAAAGAAAACUAACAGUUCUAGCACUCACGGAGGAGAAAUCCAAGACACUGGUGGAGUACGUUCAAACUCCAUUACCAAGAGCAAAAGGGAAAGAAUUGGAUAUCUUGCUACAUAUGUAACACAAGAAGAAAAGCUCCUACAUAGCUUAGGUAGACAGAAUAGAAAGCACUAACAUAUUUGCUUGACAUAUCUGCGCAGAAUCACAGCCAAGCAAAGUAGAUGAACAAUGCUUCCUGAAAGGGUCAUUCUUUUUAACCCUUGAGCUUCCAGUCCUCCACCUCACUUUUCCUAGGUACCUGUGUCCUCUAAUUACCAGAAAACUAGACUGGUAAUCUGAGGUUAUAAAGCAGCUCACAUCCUGAAACACACAUGGCAGUUAAAUUCCUGUAACUAGAAACUAUCCUUUCAUUUCUGUGGGUUAGGUUAAGUGUGAGCUUGCCUCCUUUUAAGGAUACAAAUUUCCAAAACUGAAUAGCGAAAUGAAGGAUCCAGAGUUUUUGUGGUGGAAGAAGUGAGGUUAUUACAGCUUUCUUACAGUCUUUUAGGCACUGAUGUGAGGUGUUCUCUUAUCAUUUUGAAGAUACUUCCCUUCCUAAAGAUGCUUUUCUGAAAAGGAAAUAACAUGAAGUCUGAACUUGAAAAUGUUCCAGUCAUGUACUCUAUAGGACAUACCAGUAGUGCUUUAAGAUUACCUUCACUAGACAGUAAGGAAAGGAAAAGCUUGAAGAAGUUACUGGUUAUAUACUGCAUAGCAGCAUUCAAAUCAAAUCCUGCAUUACAUGGUUCCCAGUUUUGCUUCCCACCAUGCUCUGCAGAGGUACACUGUAGACAGCAUAGCAAACUGCAGAGAUUACAGGCUUGUUAAAGGAGAAGGGUCACAAGUUUCUCUAAAAAACUGACUUGACAUCUCGAUUGUAUAGGAAAUGUGACCAACUCACAGAUUCUGGACAGCGCAGAAAACUCUCAGUGCUCCUCUUAUUUGACACAGCUCUUGCUGUUGGGUGACAGAAUGUGACCUAAUGUAUGAGUGGCUGUGGACCUUUUGCCACACAUCUGAGAAAGCCAGAAUGAGGUGAGGAAAAAAGCCUACAUGCUGCAUGCUGAUGAAGCAGGCCGAGGAGGUCUGAUGCUUCUGUUUAAGUCCAAUGCUUCUGAAAGCACACACUUAAUGGUUCAGACCUGCUAUGAACACCCCCCUUGGGGAAACUUUGGCAUUUCUGAGCAAGCUCUCAUAGGCAUGCAUUUUAUGUUCUGUCCCAGAGUAGAAUUUUGAGUAGCACAUCAAAUGCUGCUGAGAAGUUGGACUUUUAGAGUGUCUGAAAAAAGUAUGAACUUUGCCAUCUAUGCCAGUGGUACAAGCAGUGCAUGUACAUAGGCAGAUAACUGGAAUGUCAUAGAACCAGGCGUGCUGAGUUCUGCAAAUUUUGACCAGAUUAUUUCUUAAGUUCUAAUUCCCUUUUGCUAUAAAGUAAAACAGGCUGCAAUCCAGUCUACACUAUACAUCAUUGCAAUGGGCUAUACAUAACAAUUAGCUGUACUGAUGAUGACCUCUCUCUGUAGUAUUUCCACUGAAAGCAAGAGAAUGUGCAGUCCUCUUUUAUUUAAAAUAAACACCAGAUUUUUUUUUGUGUGUCUGUGUGUAUGUGAAAUGCAUUGAAAAUACCACUUGAUUGUCCAAUUGUGAUGUAGUUUCUAUGGACAUAGGCAGAACAAAUAUCUUCUAAAUCAGUAAUUGUCUUAGCUGAUAAAAUUUCAGGGUGUAAAAACUCUAUAUUCCUUGUUUCUCCUAUUGAGAUUCAUGUAGAUUUGUCUGACAAAACAGACAGAUGACAUUUAAAACUGUCUUAACAUAUUACAGCGCUUUCAUAGAUAAUGGUUACUUGACUUUCUAUUUGAACUUUCAGUAUCCUAAAGGAAAUUGGAGCUUUGUUUCUUCUCCUUCAGGAGAGGAAAAGCUCAUUAGGAAAAGGACAAUCUGCAACAGUUAGACAGCGGAGGGCAUAUGAUAGGUGCAGACCCCACUUGUAGAGACAGUCAGGAAAAAGAAGCAUUUUCCAUGCAUGCUUGCAGUAGCCCAGAUAGUCACUCUUUCUUUCUAUCUGGGGAUCUGCUUCAAGGCUAUGAAUGAAUUAUGCUCAAUAUAACUAACUGCAGUUUGACAUGAAAAAAAAACUGUCUUGAUGGAUUCUUCAGCCCCAUGCAUGACAGUUCCUGUUUUGGUCAGUUCAAGGAGGCUGAGCUUGUAGUCUUCCUCAAAGACACCUGAGCCUCAGCAGAAUGAGCUACAUACGCAGUUCAGCAGCAGAAACUGGAACAGGCCUGAAUGUCCAGUGUGAAUCCAGGGGACUAUUAGGCUACUAGUAUGUGUAAUACUAUGGUUUUUAUUUCAUAACUUCUGCAACUGUUUGUAUGUAGCAAUGGCCUGAUUGCUCAUUGAUGUUGAAUGCUAGCUUCAAAAUGAUGCUACUUUUAUGAAGCAGUAUCAGAAAGACUCCACACAGAGUCUCUUCAACAUCCCGUUUUGUCAUACAUUUUUGCUACGCUGCUGCCUCAGCCCAUAUCAUAUUAGCUGCAUUACAUAUCCCAUCUAUUUAAGAGGAGCUACUUAAUGAGGAAAAAAUGAACUCAUUGUGAAAUGUGUUUAAUUCUCUAAGAUUAGCUAGAUGUACUGAGUUACAUAGCCCGGUCGUUGCCUCAGUUUACACAAUGAUCUCCUGAGUUACAGAGCUCAUAUUUGAAUCCUAGAAAUCACUUGUUUUGCUGUUCUACAUACUGAGAAAUUUUUGUAUUGAGAAAUAUUCUUAACAUCUCCAGAAUUCUUUUUAUUUUAAGCAGAAUUAGAAAAACACACAACGAGAUGAUUUAUGUUGCUGAGCAG
ensembl:lncRNA